UUAAUUUAUAAAUAAAUAUAAAAAUAUAUUUAAAGGCUAUCACAAAGAUUUCGAGUAUUAAAACCAUAUUUAAGGCUAUCACAAUUAUUUCGAACAUUGAAACCACAUUUCUUGACAACUCUCUACCUCUGAUCCCAUAUUACUCUUUGUCUGCAGCCCCCAAUCACUCUCUCCCUUAGACUCCAGCUCCCAUUCUAGAUUGCUAAAAUCUUAAUCUUACGAAGGUCUUCAUCAAUCCAUCUCCCCCUUCACAAACACCAUCCUUCCUUUCUAUCUUCACAAAUACAUAUACAAGACUAGCACAUCUGAGAAACAAAGAGAGAACCCCUCUCUUCUCUCCCUGAAAAUCCGCCCUCCUCUCUCUGUACCCCUCAAAGAAAUCAGGAGCCCUCUCUUCUCUCCCUAAAAAUCUGGCUCUCUCCAUUUUCCAGCGUCUAUCCUCUCUCUGCAGAUUCAGAAAUCCGCAUCUACAAAUCAUUCAAAAGUUCUUCAUCCCCUCUGUAAAACCACACAUCUAAAAACCACAUAGGAGACCCAGCCAUAAAAAAUCGGGGAGAUGGAGCCAUACAGGAAAAAGAAAAUUUAGGGGGAAAAGGGAGUUUAGAGAGAGAGUUCUCCAUAGUUGCCAUGAAAUACGCACUCUCUCUAUCCUGUCAAGCUCUUUGCAGGUUUCCAUGGCCCAUUCCAAGAGGCCAAAUUUUUCGAAGGUUUCGGGUUCAUUGGAGGGAAGGGAUUAGGGUCUUCUCCUCCUCCAGUUAUCAGGGUUUUAGCAGGGUUGCUACUUUCUGAGGGAUUUAAUGGGGAAGAGAGAAAAGUGAUACAUGACUGCAAGAUUGCAACUAAACUAUGGUGAGAAGUGAGAAGAAGAGCCUCUCCCGAGCAUUUUAUUUCCUCACUUUUGUUGUAUGUUCUUCCUCGAGAGUAACAUCCUAUUGCUUUUAAUCCAACCACCUACGCUUCCUCUAUCUACUAGCCACUUGAAGGUUUUUCUCCUUAUGGGUUUUUUUAGAGAGAGAGGUGUGUUGAGGGAAGAAUAUCUCUCUCCUCAUUGACAAGAAUGCCAUUGAAUUGAAAGAGAGAAUGAUAAGGAUGUUGCAGAAGAGGAUUUCUUAGAAUGAUAACGAUGUUGCAGAAGAGGGUGUCUUCUAAGUAGUUCUUGCUACUGCCAUGAGAGAGAAGAGGAUAGAGGGCUGAAAGCCGCAUAGAGAGAAGAGAGGCAAUAGGGUAGGCAGGGGGAGUGUUCGAAGUUUCAACACAGAGAUCUAUAGGAAGAAAGGGUAAAAAGGUCUAUGGUAAUUAAACAUGAAACUCAUAACUAAGGCUCUCCACGUUACUAGGGCUUAGAUCUACAGUUUCUUGAAUGAACGGUCUACAGUUUAGAUACACUCUAACGAGGUGUAUUUAAAGUACAUUAGAUCACUGCCCUUUGUUUAAUAUUUCAUAAAAGUAUACAAUGAAACUAUUCACCUAUGUCAGCUUUUACAUAGACUGGUUACAACUAAUCUUGACCAUAAAAUUGGGCGGGUACAUUCAUUGUCCUUUGUUUCGUUUCUCUUUUUUUUUAACUGUUACAAUCUUGAUACUCUGGCAGGUUGGUGUUCUUUCUUGAGGAAUUAUGCAUGGG
rnacentral:lncRNA from 1 species